UGCAAGUCGAACGAUGAAACCGCCCUCGGGCGGACAUGAAGUGGCGAACGGGUGAGUAACACGUGACCAACCUGCCCCUUGCUCCGGGACAACCUUGGGAAACCGAGGCUAAUACCGGAUACUCCUCGCCCCCCUCCUGGGGGGCCCGGGAAAGCCCAGACGGCGGGGGAUGGGGUCGCGGCCCAUUAGGUAGUAGGCGGGGUAACGGCCCACCUAGCCCGCGAUGGGUAGCCGGGUUGAGAGACCGACCGGCCACAUUGGGACUGAGAUACGGCCCAGACUCCUACGGGAGGCAGCAGUGGGGAAUUUUGCGCAAUGGGGGAAACCCUGACGCAGCAACGCCGCGUGCGGGACGACGGCCUUCGGGUUGUAAACCGCUUUCAGCAGGGAAGAAAUUCGACGGUACCUGCAGAAGAAGCUCCGGCUAACUACGUGCCAGCAG
rnacentral:rRNA from 1 species